UGCCGGGUCGUCUAAUGGUAGGACACCUGACUCUGAAUCAGGCGGUUGGUGGUUCGAGUCCACCCCCGGCAGCCA
rnacentral:tRNA from 1 species